GGGGCCGACAAGGUUUCGACGUUGGUUUUGAAUCCUGUGGUGCAUGUCGAGAAGGUUACGGUUCUCGUAAAUCCAUCGUGACAACUAAGUAAUCGCAAACGACGAUUCUUACGCACUGGCAGCCUAAUACCCUGCCUACGGUCAAGCGACCCAGCCUGUGGGGAAGCGCGACCGGCUAAGCUACACAGGCUCGCAUUGAGGCUCGUCCCGGGCUGAUUUGCUAAAUCCUUAGGGAAUCGGCGCUGACAUCCUGCCCUUCGGGCCGUAAGCGCUUAAAUCAAUAGAACGGGCUAAACAUGUAGAUCUGCAGGUGGAUUGCUGACGGACGCGGGUUCGAUUCCCGCCGGCUCCACCA
rfam:Alcanivorax pacificus W11-5, complete genome.